GCCGUGCUAGGAUGGGCAUCCAGCCAGGACGAGUGGCUAAACCGGCUCCAUGCUUCAGGUCACCAGUGCGUGUUCACAGUCCUGUCUGGCCCGUUCCUGUUCCCCGCACCAAGCCCACGGUGCGUGUCCCCAGUCCUGUCCGGCCCGUCCCUGCUCCCCGCACCAAGCCAUGGUAUGCAGAGUUGCGCGCUGUGUCGCCAGUGCGCCCGCACAGCCCAGUGCGUCCGGUGGACAUGCCCAGCACAUGCCGUGCUAGGAUGGGCAUCCAGCCAGGACGAGUGGCUAAACCGGCUCCACGCUUCAGGUCACCAGUACGUGUUCACAGUCCUGUCUGGCCCGUCCCUGCUCCCCGCACCAGGUUAGUGGUGCGUGUCCCCAGUCCUGUCCGGCCCGUCCCUGCUCCCCGCACCAGGUUAGUGGUGCGUGUCCCCAGUCCUGUCCGGCCCGUCCCUGCUCCCCGCACCAGGUUAGUGGUGCGUGUCCCCAGUCCUGUCUGGCCCGUCCCUGCUCCCCGCACCAAGUCAGUGGUGCGUGUCCCCAGUCCGGUCCGGCCCGUCCCUGCUCCCCGCACCAAGUCAGUGGUGCGUGUCCCCAGUCCUGUCCGGCCCGUCCCUGCUCCCCGCACCAGGUUAGUGGUGCGUGUCCCCAGUCCUGUCCGGCCCGUCCCUGCUCCCCGCACCAGGUUAGUGGUGCGUGUCCCCAGUCCGGCCCGGCCCGUCCCUGCUCCCCGCACCAGGUUAGUGGUGCGUGUCCCCAGUCCUGUCCGGCCCGUCCCUGCUCCCCGCACCAGGUUAGUGGUGCGUGUCCCCAGUCCUGUCCGGCCCAUCCCUGUUCCCCGCACCAAGCCCACGGUGCGUGUCCACAGUCCUGUCCAGCCCGUCCCUGUUCCCCGCACCAAGCCCACGGUGCGUGUCCACAGUCCUGUCCGGCCCGUCCCUGUUCCCCGCACCAAGCCCACGGUGCGUGUCCACAGUCCUGUCCGGCCCGUUCCUGUUCCCCGCACCAAGCCCACGGUGCGUGUCCACAGUCCGGCACGGCCCGUGUCUGGUCCACCGGUGCCCAAUCAUGUUCCGGUCGACGGCUCCGCUCCGGAGCCUGAGCAUGCCGCUCCACAGUGGUCCAGUCCGGGCCAGAGGGGUAGGGCUAGGGUGGAGGCAGG
rnacentral:lncRNA from 1 species